CACCUGAUGAUCGAGGAAAACUCCCAGCCGGAGAAGAAAGCUAUCUCGAUUGUUGAUGCAAAUUUCAAAUCUACAAGAGAAGUUGACUUAUAUUGUAAAAAAGCCAAAGAUACUGAAGAAAGAGUGCAAAGAACCACUAUUUAUUACCAAGGAAGGGUUAUUCAUUGUAAGAAAAGAGCCCACCAUAAUUGG